GAUUGACCUGCUCGUCGCCGAUUCGUAUCGUGAGUGAGCGAUGAUUCGAGGAAUCCGGUGCAACUCCGGAGCGGUCGCGCCACUGUGAGCAUCCGGUCCGCCGGGUGCGAGUCAGACCCUCGGCUCAUUGCCACAACGA
rnacentral:ncRNA from 1 species